GCUUCUGUAGCCUAGUUGGUAAAGGCAGCACUCUGGUAUGUGUCUCAGCAUAGCUGAGGUUGUGAGUUCGACUCUCACCAGAUACA
rfam:Puccinia triticina 1-1 BBBD Race 1 supercont2.12, whole genome shotgun sequence.